rnacentral:rRNA from 1 species
GUGAGGAAUAUUGGGCAAUGGAGGCAACUCUGACCCAGCCAUGCCGCGUGAGUGAAGAAGGUUUUCGGAUUGUAAAGCUCUUUCGGAUGUGACGAUGAUGACGGUAGCAUCUAAAGAAGCCCCGGCUAACUUCGUGCCAGCAGCCGCGGUAAUACGAAGGGGGCAAGCGUUGUUCGGAAUUACUGGGCGUAAAGGGAGUGUAGGCGGUUUAGUAAGAUAGUGGUGAAAUCCCAGGGCUUAACUUUGGAAUUGCCAUUAUAACUAUUAGACUAGAAUUACAGAGAGGAUAGUGGAAUACCCAGUGUAGAGGUGAAAUUCGUAGAUAUUGGGUAGAACACCAGUGGCGAAGGCGACUAUCUGGCUGUACAUUGACGCUGAGGCUCGAAAGCAUGGGGAUCAAACAGG